GACGAACCGUGCGAACGUUAUUCGGAAUCACUGGGAUUAAAGGGCGCGUAGGCGGGUUCUCAAGUCAGGGGUGAAAUCCCGCGGCUCAACCGUGGAAGUGCCUUUGAUACUGGGGACCUCGAGGGAGGUAGGGGCGUGCGGAACUUCCGGUGGAGCGGUGAAAUGCGUAGAUAUCGGAAGGAACACCGGUGGCGAAAGCGGCGCGCUGGACCUCUUCUGACGCUGAGGCGCGAAAGCCAGGGGAGCAAACGGG
rnacentral:rRNA from 1 species